GAGAGAGAGAGAGAGAGAGAGAGGAGAGAGAGAGAGAGAGAAGGAGAGAGAGAGAGAAGAGAGAGAGAGAGAGAAGAGAGAGAGAGAGAGAAGAGAGAGAGAGAAGAAGAGAGAGAGAGGAGAGAGAGAGAGAGAGAGAGAGAGAGAGAGAAGAAGAGAGAGAAGAGAGAGAGAGAAGAAGAGAGAGAGAGAGAGAGAAGAAGAGAGAGAGAAGAGAGAGAGAGAGAGAGAGAGAGAGAGAGAGAGAGAGAGAGAGAGAGAGAGAGAGGAAGAAGAGAGAGAAGAAGAGAGAGAAGGAGAGAGAGAAAGAGAGAGAGAGAGAGAGAAGGAGAGAGAGAAAGAGAAGAAGAAGAGAGAGAAGAAGAAGAGAGAGAAGGAGAGAGAGGGACCAUUAUUUACUCUGUAACUCCAUAACUAUUCUAAUGAUGGAAGGUUGUACCUGGUGCAUAGUACCUCUGACUUUAUUCUGUCUGCUUCUCUUCAUCUCUGUGUGUCUCAAUCUCACCCUCUGCAUUCUGAGACACAGGGACACCAGACACAAAGCAGACAAUGAGGAGUUUCUCAACCAACAGCAUUAUCCAAGAGAGAGUAGAUUGGAGGAGGAAGAGGAGGAAGAGGAGAAUCAGCAGCAGGAGAAUCCCAUCUAUGGAAACAUCACUAUAGACUUGUGCUAUGAAUCCAUGACCAAUCAACGUUCCAGAAAUGACAGAAAGCCUGCGCCCCAGCCCCAACAACAACCUGACCUGAACUAUGCUUCUCUUGACCUGAACGUGGGACAGAUACCCAAGAAGAGGAAGCGUCGCUACCAGCAGGCCCAGGCCCAGGCCCAGGCCCUGCCCGAGUCCCAGAUGGGUGGGGGUUUCCUGGAAAUAGAUGCGGAAAUGGAGGCCUCCCUCCCCUCACGGAGUAGCAGCCCUCUGGCUUCUAGAAACAGCAUCUAUCUCAACAGUCUACAGAUGGCACUACAGACAGAGGAGAGGGAAUAAGAGAGAGUCAAGGGGAGGGAGAUGGAGGAGGAUAGAGAUUGGGAUGGAGACAGGAAGUGAGGAGAGGGGGAGAAAGAAACAGUAGGUUGUGAUGGAGGGAUGGAGACUGGAAGUGAGGAGAGGGGCAGAAAGAUACAGUAGAUUGUGAUGGAGGGAUGGAGACAGGAAGUGGGAGAGGGGCAGAAAGAUACAGUAGGUUGUGAUGGAGGGAUGGAGACAGGAAGUGGGAGAGGGGCAGAAAGAUACAGUAGGUUGUGAUGGAGGGAUUGAGACAGGAAGUAACAUGUGACUGGGGUUAGAGGUUAGGGAGGAAGACCAACGGUCCUAAAUGUGAACUCAAGAACUCAAUUAGGCAGAGAGAGCGAGAAAGAGAGGGAGGGAGAGAGACAAAGAGAAUGAGAGAGAGAGAGAGAACUUGUGUUUAUUUUUUUAUUUUUUGUAUUUAACCUUUAUUUAACUAGGCAAGUACAGGUAGACAAACAUAUUAACCUACUUUAACCUCUAGCCAAUAUGUUACAAUCAGACAUUAUAGAGAAAGGGGCUCCCACUGCAUAAACUGCAGAUAUGUAUAUAUUAUUAUUAUUAUUAUUAUAUAUUUUUAUUAUUAGUAGUGUUCGUAUAUACAGUGUACAGUGCAUUCGAAGAGUAUUCAGACCCCUUGACUUUUUCCACAUUUGGUGACGUUACAGCCUUAUUCUAAAAUUAAUUUUUAAAAAACAAUUCCCCUCAUCAAUCUACAAACAAAAGCUCAUAAUCACAAAGCAUAAACAGUUUUUUAGGAUUUUUUUUUUAUACAAAUGUAUUAAAAAUAAAAAUCUGAAUAUCACAUUUACAUAAGUAUUCAGACCCUAUAAUCAGUACUUUGUUGAAGCACCUUUAGCAGCGAUUACAGCCUUGAGUCUUCUUGGUUAUGACGCUACAAGCUUGGCACACCUGUAUUUGGGGAGUUUCUCCCAUUCUUUUCUGCAGAUCCUCUCAAGCUCUGUCAGGUUGGAUGGGAGGGCGUCGCUGCACAGCUAUUUUCAGAGCUGUUAGAUCGGGUUCAAGCCCGGGCUCUGGCUGGGUCACUCAACUACAUUCAGAGACUUGUCCCGAAGCCACUCCUGCGUUGUCUUGGCUGUGUGCUUAGGGUCGUUGUUCUGUUGGAAGGUGAACCUUCGGCCCCCAGUCUGAGUUCCUGAGCGCUCUGGAGCAGGUUUUCAUCAAGGAUCUCUCUGUACUUUGCUCAGUUCAUCUUUCCCUCGUUCCUGACUAUUCUCCCAGUCCCUGCCGCUGAAAAACAUCCCCACAACAUGAUGCUGCCAUCACCACGCUUCACCGUAGGGAUUGUGCCAGGGAUGCUUCCAAAAAAUGUUUUUAAUCAAUUUUAGAAUAAGGCUGUAAUGUAACAAAAUGUAGAAAAUGGGAAGGGGUCUGAAUACUUUCUGAAGGCACUGUAUAUAUACAUUCUCAAAAGUUUUUCUUUAUUUUGACUAUUUUCUACGUUGUAGAAUAAUAGUGAAGACAUCAAAACUAUGAAAUAACACAUAUGGACUCAUGUAGUAACCAAAAAAGUGUUAAACAAAUCAAAAUAUAUUUUAUAUUUGAGAUUCUUCAAAUAGCUACUCUUUGCCUUGAUGACAGCUUUGCACACUAUUGGCAUUCUCUCAACCAGCUUCACCUGGAAUGCUUUUCCAAUGUUCUUGAAGGAAUUCCCACAUGCUGAGCACUUGUUGGCUGCUUUUCCUUCAAUCUGCGGUCCAACUCAUCCCAAACCAUCUCAAUUGGGUUGAGGUCGGGUGAUUGUGGAGGCCAGGUCAUCUGAUGCAGCACUCCAUCACUCUCCUUCUUGGUCAAAUAGCCCUUUCACAGCCUGGAUGUGUUUUGGGUCAUUGUCCUGUUGAAAAACAAAUGAUAGUCCCACUAAGUGCAAACCAGAUAGGAUGGUGUAUUGCUGCAGGCUAGUUGAGAACAAGUUCUUAUUUACAACUGCGACCUGGCCAAGACAAAGCAAAGCAGUUCGACAACAUACAACAACACAGAGUUACACAUGGAGUAAAACAAACCUACAGUCAAUAAUACAGUAGAACAAAAGAAAACAAAAAGUCUAUAUACAGUGAGUGCAAAUGAGGUAAGUUAAGGCAAUAAAUAGGCCAUGGUGGCGAAGUAAUUACAAUAUAGCAAGUAAAACACUGGAAUGGUAGAUGUGCAGAAGAUGAAUGUGCAAGUAGAGAUACUGGGGUGCAAAAGAGCAAGAUAAAUAAAUAAAUACAGUAUGGGGAUGAGGUAGGUAGAUGGGCUGUUUAUAGAUGGGCUAUGUACAGGUGCAGUGAUCGGUGAGCUGCUCUGACAGCUGGUGCUUAAAGCUAGGACACCAAUCAGGCCCUCGAGGGCUGGAGUUGCCCACCCCUGCUCUACGGCAAAGGUAACUCUGGAUCUUCCUUUCCUGUGGCGGUCCUCAUGAGAGCCAGUUUCAUCAUAGUUUUUGCGACUGCACUUCAAGAAACUUUCAAAGUUCUUGAAAUGUUCCGUUAUUGACUGACCUUCAUGUCUUAAAGUAAUGAUGGACUGUUGUUUCUCUUUGCUUAUUUGAGCUGUUCUUGCCAUAAUAGGGACUUGGUCUUUUACCAAAUAAGCAUAUAUUUAGUAUACCACCCCUACCUUGUCACAACACAAAUGAUUGAUCAAACGCAUUAAGAAGGAAAUCAAUUCCACAAACUAACUUUUUACAAGGCACAGCUGUUAAUUGAAAUAUAUUCCAGGUGACUACCUCAUGAAGCUGGUUGAGAGAAUGCCAAUAGUGUUCAAAAGCUGUCAUCAAGGCAAAGGGUGGCUACUUUGAAGAAUCUCAAAUACAAAUAUAUUUGUUUAACACUUUUUUAGUUACUACUUGAUUCCAUAUGUGUUAUUUCAUAGUUAUGAUGUCUUCACUAUUAUUCUACAAAAACCCUUGAAUGAGUAGGUGUGUCCAAACAUUUGACUGGUACUGUAUAUUAUUAUAGUUGUUAGUAUUAUAUAUAUAUAUAUAUAUAUAUUAUAUGUGGAAAAUAAGUGUAAAAGUGAAACCUACUUGGAAUAAGAGAACUUUCAUGUAAAUGUCAUGUGACAUUUAAAGGUGAACGGUUGCUGUGUGGCAUAGUUGUGAGUUUUAUUAUGAGAGGUGAUGUAAACAUCAUCGAAGGCUCAAGUCACAUGGCUCGAGCUAACACACACAAACAUCUACAGUACAUGUGAAUACUUGGCCAGGUCGCAGUUGUAAAUGAGAACUUGAUCUCAACUAGCCUACCUGGUUAAAUAAAGCUGAAAUAAAAUGUUAAAAAAUGAAUCAUUUCUGAAGGCACUGUACCUCUCAAAUCUCAUGCAGGGAGGGGUAGACAACACAUUCACACAUUCACACGGACUGACUGACUGACUGGCUGACUGACUGGCUGACUGGCUGACUGACUGGCUGGCUGGCUGGCUGACUGACUGGCUGACUGGCUGACUGACUGACUGGCUGACUGGCUGACUGGCUGGCUGACUGACUGACUGGCUGAUGGACGGACGGACGGACGGACUGACUGACUGACUGACUGACGGACGGACUGACUGGCUGACUGCUGUUUCAACUCUCUGUUUCUAACUUCAAUUAACUGCUAGGGUGUGAAUGCAAAUGAUGC
rnacentral:lncRNA from 1 species